GAUGAAGAACGCAGCGAAAUGCGAUAAGUAAUGUGAAUUGCAGAAUCCAGUGAAUCAUCGAAUCUUUGAACGCACAUUGCGCCCGCCAGCAUUCUGGCGGGCAUGCCUGUUCGAGCGUCAUUUCAACCCUCGACCUCCCUUUGGGGAAGUCGGCGUUGGGGACCGGCAGCACACCGCCGGCCCUGAAAUGGAGUGGCGGCCCGUCCGCGGCGACCUCUGCGUAGUAAACCAACUCGCACCGGAACCCCGACGUGGCCACGCCGUAAAACACCCAACUUCUGAACGUUGACCUCGAAUCAGGUAGGACUACCCGCUGAACUUAAGCAUAUCAAUAAGCGGAG
rnacentral:misc_RNA from 1 species